rnacentral:rRNA from 1 species
AUUGAACGCUGGCGGCAGGCCUAACACAUGCAAGUCGAGCGAGCGGCGGACGGGUGAGUAAUGUCUGGGAAACUGCCUGAUGGAGGGGGAUAACUACUGGAAACGGUAGCUAAUACCGCAUCCCAUCAGAUGUGCCCAGAUGGUAUUAGAUAGUGGGGUGGGUAACGGCUCACCUAGGCGACGAUCCCUAGCUGGGCUGAGAUGAUGACCAGCCACUCUGGAACUGAGACAAGGUCCAUGCUCCUACGGGAGGCAGCCGUGGGGAAUAUUGCACAAUGGGAGCAAGCCUGAGGCAGCCAUGCCGCGUGGGUGAAGAAGGCCUUCGGGUUGGAAUGCACUUUCAGCGGGGAGGCGUUACCCGCAGAAGAAGCACCGGCUAACUCCGUGCCAGCAGCCGCGGUAAUAC